rnacentral:rRNA from 1 species
GGGGAAUAUUGCACAAUGGGGGAAACCCUGAUGCAGCGACGCCGCGUGAGCGAAGAAGUAUUUCGGUAUGUAAAGCUCUAUCAGCAGGGAAGAUAAUGACGGUACUCAACAAGGAAGUGACGGCUAACUACGUGCCAGCAGCCGCGGUAAAACGUAGGUCACAAGCGUUGUCCGGAAUUACUGGGUGUAAAGGGAGCGCAGGCGGGAAGACAAGUUGGAAGUGAAAUCUAUGGGCUCAACCCAUAAACUGCUUUCAAAACUGUUUUUCUUGAGUAGUGCAGAGGUAGGCGGAAUUCCCGGUGUAGCGGUGGAAUGCGUAGAUAUCGGGAGGAACACCAGUGGCGAAGGCGGCCUACUGGGCACCAACUGACGCUGAGGCUCGAAAGUGUGGGUAGCAAACAGGAUUAGAUACCCUGGUAGUCCACGCUGUAAACGAUGAUUACUAGGUGUGGGGGGUCUGACCCCUUCCGUGCCGGAGUUAACACAAUAAGUAAUCCACCUGGGGAGUACGGCCGCAAGGUUGAAACUCAAAGGAAUUGACGGGGGCCCGCACAAGCAGUGGAGUAUGUGGUUUAAUUCGAAGCAACGCGAAGAACCUUACCAGGUCUUGACAUCGGAUGCAUACCUAAGAGAUUAGGGAAGUCCUUCGGGACAUCCAGACAGGUGGUGCAUGGUUGUCGUCAGCUCGUGUCGUGAGAUGUUGGGUUAAGUCCCGCAACGAGCGCAACCCUUAUCGUUAGUUACUACGCAAGAGGACUCUAGCGAGACUGCCGUUGACAAAACGGAGGAAGGUGGGGAUGACGUCAAAUCAUCAUGCCCUUUAUGACCUGGGCUACACACGUACUACAAUGGCUAUUAACAGAGAGAAGCGAUACCGCGAGGUGGAGCAAACCUCACAAAAAUAGUCUCAGUUCGGAUCGCAGGCUGCAACCCGCCUGCGUGAAGCCGGAAUUGCUAGUAAUCGCGGAUCAGCAUGCCGCGGUGAAUACGUUCCCG